rnacentral:rRNA from 1 species
GAUGAACGCUAGCUACAGGCUUAACACACGCAAGUCGAGGGGUAGCAGGGUAGCAAUACCGCUGACGACCGGCGCACGGGUGAGUAACACGUAUCCAACCUUCCCAUUACUCGGGGAUAGCCUUUCGAAAGAAAGAUUAAUACCCGAUAGUACUUUUUCGAGGCAUCUCGUAAAAAGUUAAAGAUUUAUUGGUAAUGGAUGGGGAUGCGUUCCAUUAGAUUGUUGGUGAGGUAACGGCUCACCAAGUCUUCGAUGGAUAGGGGUUCUGAGAGGAAGGUCCCCCACAUUGGUACUGAGACACGGACCAAACUCCUACGGGAGGCAGCAGUGAGGAAUAUUGGUCAAUGGGCGAGAGCCUGAACCAGCCAAGUAGCGUGAAGGAUGAAGGUCCUAUGGAUUGUAAACUUCUUUUAUAGUAGAAUAAAGUGAGCCACGUGUGGUUUUUUGUAUGUAUACUAUGAAUAAGGAUCGGCUAACUCCGUGCCAGCCGCCGCCGUAA